GGUUCUCUGUCCGGUCUGUCUUGAAAACUUUUUUGAAAAGAAAAAAAAAAAAACCGAUGCGAUCCAUACCGACGUCCUCCUCCCCUGCCGCCUCCGGUCCGUCUCGAUUAGACGUCGUCGCGGAUGAAGAAGCUAGGUUUUUCAAUUUCCCCCGUUCGUCUUCGCAAAACCUAAACACCACCAUGGAUCUCCUUCAAAGCUACGCGGACAAGAUCGACGAAGAAGACGGAGAGCCAGAAGAAUCGCGAGGAGAAGAGAAGCGAGGAGGAGGAGAAGGGGAUGCUGCGGCGGCGGCCCCUGCCUCGCCAGAUUCGGACCCCUCCUCGGCUACUCCCGGCCAAGUCCGCCGCCCCGCGGGUGGACGACACCACCCUCGCCCUCGCCGCCGAGUUAAUUGUUGCAGUGUUUAGUUUCCAUGACUUGUGGUUGCACUCUGUGUCUUUGGCUCACUUAUAGAAAAUGACAUGUUAACCUUAUAAUAUCAUCGGUUGCACUACAUAAAUUUCCGGACGAGCUGCCAUAACGGUUUUCUUCAUUAAUGCUGGGAGUAUGGCCAUGGGAUUAGUUUUCCAGGCACUCUUCAACUUUGCUGAUGAGGUUCAUCUCAAUCGUUAGGUUGGAAGAUUGCACACUUAAAGAGUGCUUGCAGUUCUAUUCCAGUUGUUUAACGGAUACCAGCUGAGUUAAUUUGCUUCGGAUCAUGGCAGUGCCAUCAUCUAAGUUUUCAAGCUGUCUGCAUUAGCUAUGACGAACUUGACUGCUAAUUCUCUGAGGCUGUUCAUCAUUGUUGCAGGCAUGGUGCCGUUGAACAUGUAGUUCAUGUAGACUUUUAAGGUGUAUUUCUCCGGUGUAUGUCCCUGAAAGAAACAGUAUAUAUCCAGAAUUUGUUUUGUUUAUGCAAUAAUGACAGGAAUUUUUGCACCAACUGGUCCACUUAUUAUUUUUAUUUGUGGCCUCAUGGGCGUGAUGGGAUCAUUCUGUC